CCUACGGGUGGCAGCAGUGGGGAAUAUUGCACAAUGGGCGCAAGCCUGAUGCAGCCAUGCCGCGUGUGUGAAGAAGGCCUUCGGGUUGUAAAGCACUUUCAGCGGGGAGGAAGGCGUUAAGGUUAAUAACCUUGUCGAUUGACGUUACCCGCAGAAGAAGCACCGGCUAACUCCGUGCCAGCAGCCGCGGUAAUACGGAGGGUGCAAGCGUUAAUCGGAAUUACUGGGCGUAAAGCGCACGCAGGCGGUCUGUCAAGUCGGAUGUGAAAUCCCCGGGCUCAACCUGGGAACUGCAUUCGAAACUGGCAGGCUAGAGUCUUGUAGAGGGGGGUAGAAUUCCAGGUGGAGCGGUGAAAUGCGUAGAGAUCUGGAGGAAUACCGGUGGCGAAGGCGGCCCCCUGGACAAAGACUGACGCUCAGGUGCGAAAGCGUGGGGAGCAAACAGGAUUAGAUACCCUUGUAGUC
rnacentral:rRNA from 1 species